rnacentral:rRNA from 1 species
GAUGAACGCUGGCGGCGUGCCUAAUACAUGCAAGUCGAGCGAACGGACGAGAAGCUUGCUUUUCUGAUGUUAGCGGCGGACGGGUGAGUAACACGUGGAUAACCUACCUAUAAGACUGGGAUAACUUCGGGAAACCGGAGCUAAUACCGGAUAAUAUUUUGAACCGCAUGGUUCAAAAGUGAAAGACGGUCUUGCUGUCACUUAUAGAUGGAUCCGCGCUGCAUUAGCUAGUUGGUAAGGUAACGGCUUACCAAGGCAACGAUGCAUAGCCGACCUGAGAGGGUGAUCGGCCACACUGGAACUGAGACACGGUCCAGACUCCUACGGGAGGCAGCAGUAGGGAAUCUUCCGCAAUGGGCGAAAGCCUGACGGAGCAACGCCGCGUGAGUGAUGAAGGUCUUCGGAUCGUANAACUCUGUUAUUAGGGAAGAACAUAUGUGUAAGUAACUGUGCACAUCUUGACGGUACCUAAUCAGAAAGCCACGGCUAACUACGUGCCAGCAGCCGCGGUAAUACGUAGGUGGCAAGCGUUAUCCGGAAUUAUUGGGCGUAAAGGCGCGCGUAGCGGUUUUUUAAGUCUGAUGUGAAAGCCCACGGCUCAACCGUGGAGGGUCAUUGGAAACUGGAAAACUUGAGUGCAGAAGAGGAAAGUGGAAUUCCAUGUGUAGCGGUGAAAUGCGCAGAGAUAUGGAGGAACACCAGUGGCGAAGGCGACUUUCUGGUCUGUAACUGACGCUGAUGUGCGAAAGCGUGGAGAUCAAACAGGAUUAGAUACCCUGGUAGUCCACGCCGUAAACGAUGAGUGCUAAGUGUUAGGGGGUUUCCGCCCCUUAGUGCUGCAGCUAACGCAUUAAGCACUCCGCCUGGGGAGUACGACCGCAAGGUUGAAACUCAAAGGAAUUGACGGGGACCCGCACAAGCGGUGGAGCAUGUGGUUUAAUUCGAAGCAACGCGAAGAACCUUACCAAAUCUUGACAUCCUUUGACAACUCUAGAGAUAGAGCCUUCCCCUUCGGGGGACAAAGUGACAGGUGGUGCAUGGUUGUCGUCAGCUCGUGUCGUGAGAUGUUGGGUUAAGUCCCGCAACGAGCGCAACCCUUAAGCUUAGUUGCCAUCAUUAAGUUGGGCACUCUAAGUUGACUGCCGGUGACAAACCGGAGGAAGGUGGGGAUGACGUCAAAUCAUCAUGCCCCUUAUGAUUUGGGCUACACACGUGCUACAAUGGACAAUACAAAGGGCAGCGAAACCGUGAGGUCAAGCAAAUCCCAUAAAGUUGUUCUCAGUUCGGAUUGUAGUCUGCAACUCGACUACAUGAAGCUGGAAUCGCUAGUAAUCGUAGAUCAGCACGCCGCGGUGAAUACGUUCCCGGGCCU